rnacentral:rRNA from 1 species
GGUUAAGCUAGAAAGGGCGCACGGUGGAUGCCUUGGCACUAGGAGCCGAAGAAGGACGGGACGAACACCGAUAUGCCUCGGGGAGCUGUAAGUAAGCACUGAUCCGGGGAUUUCCGAAUGGGGGAACCCACCAUCCGUAAUGGGAUGGUAUCCAUAUCUGAAUACAUAGGGUAUGAGAAGGCAGACCCGGGGAACUGAAACAUCUAAGUACCCGGAGGAAGAGAAAGCAAAUGCGAUUUCCUGAGUAGCGGCGAGCGAAACGGAAACAGCCCAAACCAGAGGGCUUGCCCUCUGGGGUUGUAGGACACUCUACAUGGAGUUACAAAGGAACGAAGUAGGUGAAGCGGUCUGGAAAGGCCUGCCAAAGAAGGUAACAGCCCUGUAGCUGAAACUUCGUUCCCUCCUGAGUGGAUCCUGAGUACGGCGGGACACGUGAAACCCCGUCGGAAUCCGGGAGGACCAUCUCCCAAGGCUAAAUACUCCCUAGUGACCGAUAGUGAACCAGUACCGUGAGGGAAAGGGGAAAAGCACCCCGGAAGGGGAGUGAAAGAGAUCCUGAAACCGUGUGCCUACAAGUAGUCGGAGCCCAUUAACGGGUGACGGCGUGCCUUUUGUAGAAUGAACCGGCGAGUUACGAUCCCGUGCAAGGUUAAGUUGAAUAGACGGAGCCGCAGCGAAAGCGAGUCUGAAUAGGGCGACAUAGUACGUGGUCGUAGACCCGAAACCGUGUGAUCUACCCAUGUCCAGGGUGAAGUUCAGGUAACACUGAAUGGAGGCCCGAACCCACGCACGUUGAAAAGUGCGGGGAUGAGGUGUGGGUAGGGGUGAAAUGCCAAUCGAACACGGAGAUAGCUGGUUCUCCCCGAAAUAGCUUUAGGGCUAGCCUCGCGGCAAGAUUCCUGGAGGUGGAGAUAGCUGGUUCUCCCCGAAAUAGCUUUAGGGCUAGCCUCGCGGCAAGAUUCCUGGAGGUAGAGCACUGAUUGGACUAGGGGCCCCCACAGGGUUACCGAAUUCAGUCAAACUCCGAAUGCCAGAGAAUUAUCCGCGGGAGUCAGACUGCGAGUGAUAAGAUCCGUAGUCAAAAGGGAAACAGCCCAGACCAUCAGCUAAGGUCCCAAAGUAUACGUUAAGUGGCAAAGGAUGUGGAGUUGCCCAGACAACCAGGAUGUUGGCUUAGAAGCAGCCACCAUUUAAAGAGUGCGUAAUAGCUCACUGGUCGAGUGACUCUGCGCCGAAAAUGUAACGGGGCUAAACGUAUCACCGAAGCUAUGGCUUGUACCUUUAGGUACAGGGGUAGGGGAGCGUUCGAAGUGCAGUGAAGUCAGACCGGAAGGACUGGUGGAGCGCUUUGAAGUGAGAAUGCCGGUAUGAGUAGCGAAAGACAAGUGAGAAUCUUGUCCAUCGAAAGCCUAAGGUUUCCUGAGGAAGGCUCGUCCGCUCAGGGUUAGUCGGGGCCUAAGCCGAGGCUGAAAAGCGUAGGCGAUGGAUAACAGGUUGAUAUUCCUGUACCACCUCCUUUCCGUUUGAACAAUGGGGGGACGCAGUAAGGUAGGGUGAGCGCACUGAUGGAAUAGUGCGUCUAAGCAGUUAGGCUGUUGGAUAGGCAAAUCCGUCCAACGUGAAGGCUGAGCUGUGAUGGCGAGGGAAAUUUUAGUACCGAAGUCCCUGAUCCUACACUGCCAAGAAAAGCCUCUAGUGAGGAAAGAGGUGCCCGUACCGCAAACCGACACAGGUAGGCGAGGAGAGAAUCCUAAGAUGAUCGGGAGAACUCUCGUUAAGGAACUCGGCAAAAUGACCCCGUAACUUCGGGAGAAGGGGUGCUCUGAUAGGGUUUAUCGCCCGAGAGAGCCGCAGUGAAUAGAUCCAAGCGACUGUUUAGCAAAAACACAGGUCUCUGCGAAACCGCAAGGUGAAGUAUAGGGGCUGACACCUGCCCGGUGCUGGAAGGUUAAGAGGAGGGGUUAUCCCUUACGGGAGAAGCUCUGAAUUGAAGCCCCAGUAAACGGCGGCCGUAACUAUAACGGUCCUAAGGUAGCGAAAUUCCUUGUCGGGUAAGUUCCGACCCGCACGAAAGGUGUAACGACUUGGAUACUGUCUCAACGAGAGACCCGGUGAAAUUAUAGUACCUGUGAAGAUGCAGGUUACCCGCGACAGGACGGAAAGACCCCAUGGAGCUUUACUGCAGCUUGAUAUUGGAUUUUGGUACAGCUUGUACAGGAUAGGUAGGAGCCUGAGAAGCCGGAGCGCCAGCUUCGGUGGAGGCGUCGGUGGGAUACUACCCUGGCUGUAUUGAAAUUCUAACCUUGAACCGUGAUCCGGUUCGGAGACAGUGUCAGGCGGGCAGUUUGACUGGGGCGGUCGCCUCCUAAACAGUAACGGAGGCGCCCAAAGGUUCCCUCAGAAUGGUUGGAAAUCAUUCGCAGAGUGUAAAGGCACAAGGGAGCUUGACUGCGAGACCUACAAGUCGAGCAGGGACGAAAGUCGGGCUUAGUGAUCCGGUGGUUCCGCAUGGAAGGGCCAUCGCUCAACGGAUAAAAGCUACCCUGGGGAUAACAGGCUUAUCUCCCCCAAGAGUCCACAUCGACGGGGAGGUUUGGCACCUCGAUGUCGGCUCAUCGCAUCCUGGGGCUGAAGUAGGUCCCAAGGGUUGGGCUGUUCGCCCAUUAAAGCGGUACGCGAGCUGGGUUCAGAACGUCGUGAGACAGUUCGGUCCCUAUCCGUCGCGGGCGCAGGAAAUUUGAGAGGAGCUGUCCUUAGUACGAGAGGACCGGGAUGGACACACCGCUGGUGUACCAGUUGUUCCGCCAGGGGCAUAGCUGGGUAGCUACGUGUGGACGGGAUAAGUGCUGAAAGCAUCUAAGCAUGAAGCCCCCCUCAAGAUGAGAUUUCCCAUCACGUUAAGUGAGUAAGACCCCUUAGAGAUGAUGAGGUUGAUAGGUCUGGUGUGGAAGCGUGGUGACACGUGGAGCUGACAGAUACUAAUCGGUCGAGGGCUUAUCCUU